ACUUCCCACGGGAAGGCAGCAGUGGGGAAUUUUGGGCAAUGGGCGCAAGCCUGAUCCAGCCUUUCCGCAUGAGUGAUUAAGGCCUUAGGGUUGUAAAGCUCUUUUGUCCGGGGGCGAUAAGCGCGGUCCCGGAAGAAUAAACCCCGGCUAACUUUGUGCCAGGCCGCCCGGGGUAAUCCGAAGGGGGCAAGCGUCCUUCGGAAUCUCUGGGCUUAAGCGGGGCGUAGGGGGCCUAUAAAGUCGGGGGGAAAACCCUGGGGCUCAACCCCAGAAUACCCUUCAAUACUGGUUGGCUUGAGACCGGAAGAGGACGGCGGAAUUCCGGGUGUAGAGGUAAAAUUCGUAAAUUUUCGCAAGAACCCCGGUGGGGAAGGCGCCCUUCGGGCCCGUUUCCGCCGCUGAGGGGCAAAAGCGGGGGGGGCAAACAGGAUUAAAUCCCCUGGUAGUCCCCGCCUUAAACGAUAAUGCCUGCGUGUCGCUGCAGGUCAGUGGCGCAGCUAACGCAUUAAGCAUCGCCUGGAGACGCAUUUU
rnacentral:rRNA from 1 species